AGGCUCUCUUGCCUUUUGUGGUGUUG
rnacentral:piRNA from 1 species